AGAGUUUGAUCAUGGCUCAGAUUGAACGCUGGCGGUAACUUUUAAACAUGCAAGUCGAGCGGUAACAGACAUAAAGAUUCAGCUUGCUGAAUCCGGUGCUGACGAGCGGCGAACGGGUGAGUAACGCGUAGGAAUCUACCCAGUAGCGGGGGAUAGCCCGAGGAAACUCGGAUUAAUACCGCAUACGCCCUGAGGGGGAAAGGGGGCAAUUUAUUGCUCUUACUAUUGGAUGAGCCUGCGUAAGAUUAGCUUGUUGGUAGGGUAAUGGCCUACCAAGGCAACGAUCUUUAGCUGGUCUGAGAGGACGAUCAGCCACAUUGGGACUGAGACACGGCCCAGACAUCUACGGAUGGCAGCAGUUAAGAAUAUUGGACAAUGGGGGCAACCCUGAUCCAGGUAUACCGCGUGUGCGAAGAAGGCCCUAGGGUUGUAAAGCACUUUAAUCAGAGAAGAAGCAAUUUAAGUUAAUACCUUAUUUUGUUGACGUUACCUGAAGAAUAAGGACCGGCUAACUCCGUGCCAGCAGCCGCGGUAAUACGGAGGGUCCAAGCGUUAAUCGGAAUUACUGGGCGUAAAGCGCGCGUAGGCGGUUUAGCAAGUUGUAUGUGAAAGCCCUGGGCUCAACCUAGGAACUGCAUCCAAAACUACUAAGCUAGAGUACGAGAGAGGAGAGUAGAAUUUCUGGUGUAGCGGUGAAAUGCGUAGAUAUCAGAAGGAAUACCAAUGGCGAAAGCAGCUCUCUGGCUCGUCACUGACGCUGAGUGCGAAAGCGUGGGUAGCAAACAGGAUUAGAUACCCUGGUAGUCCACGCCGUAAACGAUGACAACUAGCCGUUGGGCAGAUUUAACUGUUCAG
rnacentral:rRNA from 1 species